rnacentral:tRNA from 1 species
GGGGGAUUAGCUCAGUUGGAUAGAGCGCCUGUUUUGCACGCAGGAGGUCAUCGGUUCGACUCCGAUAUUCUCCA